ACAAAAAAUAAAAACACAGAACUCAAAUCCAGACUGAAAUAUAGAUAUAAUUUACAAAGAUUAUCAAGAAACUCUUAAAAAUAAGAAAUAGUCAAAAAACUGAAGACUUACUCAGAAAUAGUAUCUUGAAUAAGAGAAAAAAAUCAGAUAUUAGUUAUAAUAGAAGAAUACUGAAAUAUAUCAAUUCAAGUAAACUUAGUAGAAUGAAGUAUAUACACACUACUAGAUUCAGAAGCAAUCAGAAUAUUCAUAAAAAAAAAUACACAGUCAAUAUCAGAAUACAAAACAAAGAGAAAAAAAAAGUCUAUCAGCUACA
rnacentral:sRNA from 1 species